UUGAUAUUAAUGAUUGAUUUCUAUAUAUUUUCCUCUGCAGUUUGCUGUGUUGAUGUGGAUCCUGACCUACGUCGGCUCCCUGUUCAACGGCCUCACUAUUCUCAUUCUCUCUCUGGUCGGUUUGUUCAGCUGCCCGAUCGUCUAUGAGAAGCAUCAGACUCAGAUCGACCACUACCUGGCUCUGGUCAACAACCAGGUCAAAGACGUCGUUGGAAAGAUCCAGGCGAAGGUUCCCGGGAUGAAACGAGUGAAAGCAGAGU